rnacentral:rRNA from 1 species
GACAGAGGUGCCAAGCGUUAGGCGGAAUCACUGGGCUUAAAGCGUGUGUAGGCGGAAUUGUAAGUACCUUGUGAAAUCCCACGGCUCAACCGUGGAACUGCUCGGUAUACUGCUUUUCUUGAGCCACUUAGGGGCUACCGGAACAAAUGGUGGAGCGGUGAAAUGCGCAGAUAUCAGGAGGAACACCCGUAGCGAAGGCGGCACUCUGGGCCGGAACUGACGCUGAGGAGCGAAAGCGUGGGAAGCGAACAGG